UGGCUCAGAACGAACGCUGGCGGCGUGCUUAACACAUGCAAGUCGAGUGCGCGGUUGUAGCAAUACAACUGGCGCACGGCGCACGGGUGCGUAACACGUGGGCAAUCUGCCCUCCGAUGGGGAAUAACUCCGGGAAACCGAAGCUAAUUCCGCAUAACAUUCCUUGGACUCCGGUUCGGGGAUUCAAAGCAGCAAUGCGUCGGAGGAGGAGCCCGCGCCCGAUUAGCUAGUUGGUGAGGUAACGGCUCACCAAGGCAAGGAUAAGUAGCUGGUCUGAGAGGAUGGCCAGCCACACUGGAACUGUUUCUCGGUCCAGAGAACUACGGGAGGCAGC
rnacentral:rRNA from 1 species